AUCGUUCGUGCUCUUACUUACGAUGUAGACGACUUCUACUCUCAUUGCGAUCCAGACAAUGAGAAUUUAUGUUUGUAUGGAUACCCAAAUGAGGGAUGGGAGGUAGCUUUACCGGUUGAGGAAGUUCCAUCAGAGCUUCCCAAGCCAGCUUUGGGUAUUAAUUCUGCAAGA